rnacentral:rRNA from 1 species
ACGCUCGACACCUACGGGAGGCAGCAGUGGGGAAUAUUGCACAAUGGGGGAAACCCUGAUGCAGCAACGCCGCGUGAGCGAAGAAGUAUUUCGGUAUGUAAAGCUCUAUCAGCAGGGAAGAAAGUGACGGUACCUGAGUAAGAAGCCCCGGCUAACUACGUGCCAGCAGCCGGUAAUCUGAGCGGGCUGGCAAGGC